GCCUCUCUGCCCUUCCAGGAGUAGGGGUAAGGCUGCGUACAUCUUACCCUCCCCAGAGCCCACUUGUGGGGAACUUUUGGGUUUGUUAUUGCUGUUGUUGUUGUUUAUGAUGGUAAUCAUCAAAUUUUCUUUGAAAUUAGCAGGUUGGAUUAACACCAGUAUCUCAAGUUAAACUUCAUUUUCAUAUUCUCAGGCUAUGUGAGAUUAUAAUCAAUUUAUUUAAAUGAUGUUAUCCUUGGUCCUUACAUAUAGUUGCAUGCAGAUACCAUUUCCACUUUGGUUAUGCUACUUGAAAAAGAUACUUUUGCUGCUAAUAUUGCAGUGAACAGAAAAAAAUAAACAUAAAUCAUAAAGUCAUGGUGAUAAUCUAUGCAGCUAUAAUUUACGAGUAUGCUGGGAAUGCUUUAGCAGUUAAGGCUUCAAAGUUGUUUUUGGAGAUAAGUUGCAGAAGUGAAUGCACAUGAACUUAUCACUAUUGUGGUACUGAGCCUUCGAGGAUGCUUGUCAGAGUAGACACAUGCGCUUUGGAAUGAGGAACAUCUUAUACACUCAGACAGCAAGCAAAGUUGUGCAAAGGAAUUGUGCUGGUGUUAUUUUUCUAUUGAAUAUGAGAUUAUUGCUCUAAAUCUGUACUUUGUUCAAUCUUUAACCUCCAUCCCUACUUAGAAAGAAUUAAGCUCAAACAACUUGAAAUGGAAGCUGUGGAGAGGGUCUCUUGUUGUUGUUUCUUGUGUUUGCCUGUAUUUUGUUAGCUAGAGAUCAUGUUGUUCCGAUAACUUACACUAACUUCCCGUUAUUACGUUUUUCUGCCUCAGUUGUUGAGAUUGUCUCGCUCAAUAAUAGCCUGUCAGAUUAUAGAGGAUCAAUGGGCUUU